rfam:Triticum aestivum genome assembly, contig: Triticum_aestivum_CS42_TGACv1_scaffold_030388_1BL
UAUCUACUCCCUCUGUCCCAAAUUACUCGUCGCAAAAAUGGAUGUAUCUAGAACUAAAAUACAACUAGAUACAUCCCUAUAUACCUGCGACAAGUAAUUCGGGACGGAGGGAAUACUUC